rnacentral:lncRNA from 10 species
UCCAGCUUUGUUAUGUGUUGGUGUUGCAGUACACAGUGAGACAGCCCUCAUCUCCUUGAGAACAAGAACAAAGCCUGACAUCCCAGCAGCUUGCACAGUGCUGGCGGGGCACGCUGUAAGUGCUCAGCUGAUGGUUGUUGAAUUGCUCUGAAUGGAUUGUGAGCAAGAGACCAGCAGGGGUGGAGGCUGACAGGAGAGACAGCGCCUGCCUCUGUACUCUAAAGUGCCGGGGAACUCGUGGUGAUUUGGAUCCAGUUCAGGCACCUGAAGCCCAGUUAAAGAGAAGGAAUCUUCAGUCUUUUCUCUCUCAGGUGGGGAAGUUCUUUUUCCUGUUGUUGUUGUUUGUUUGUUUGUUUGUUUUGGCAGACACAAGUUUCAGCCCUGGCAUCCCAGCUGUCUGAAGGAGGGGCCUCAGGGGUACCCAUGACCCCUCACCCUUCCUGCAGCAGCCCCACCUCUGCCGAGCAGGUGGGACAGGUGGGGUCAUGGCUGCAGCAGCCCAGGAGGCACUGGCUGAGCCCUGCUGAGUGGGUUGGGGUCAGGAGCCUGGGGUGACGUUUCUGCAUGGGGAAUGUCCUGGUAUUGUUUCUCGGCUGGGCUCGUUCUUCUCCUGGAGUGCCUGCCACUCACUGCACCACAGGAGCAGGAGGCUUCCUUGGGUCCCUUUCUUGGAAAGUCAGGCAGAGCUAGGGUGGGAUGAGCUGGGUGCUCCUGAGGCAAGCCCCGAGUGCUGCCAGCGCCCUAAAACUGAAUCUCCACAGGUGGUUCCUUGUGGUAUUCAUGUUCUUUCUUCCAAGUUAGAAGAUGAGAGAAUAAGGCACGCGCAUGAUUCAAGCAUAUUGUUACACU